CGUUACCUCGUUGAGCAGCGAGGUUCAACAGACAGCACGCGGCAGGCGUGGAGCGAAAUGUUACCGCGGUGGCGAUUGUUGGAAUAACUGUCACGAAAACUAAAAUGAGUGACUUCAAUCCGAGGCGGCGAAGCGAGGACACACGUGGGGGACCCUGCGGGCUGGGACGCGUCUGCGAAGUUGUCUCUUCCGUUGGCGAAGACACGCGACAUGAGGACGGGCGAGAUAAGAGGAGGAGGAGGGAGGGGGAGGAGAGUGGGAGGAUGGGUUGGGGGGGGGGGGCAACUAUCGAGCGAGGCGAUCAUAGCGGCGCGCUUUGACGGAUGAUCAAUACACCUCCAUCCCAUCCCGCGGAUCGAUUCACAUCAACCGCACACCAGCCCGCCCGCCGCCCCGGGUUUUGAAGCGACCACCGCAGUUUCUGGAUUAAUAACGCGCUCCGGAAAAUUUGAUUACCGGUGAGAGAGCGCCUGGGUUCCAAUCCGGGUUCUCGCUGCUCACUGCGAGACUCGCGAAUAAUUUCUUUGUCCCGUUGCAAUCAAGAGGUCGAUAAUACAAUUUGAAAAGGAAUUUAGAUUAAAAGAGAAGAUUCCGUAGACGGAUGGCAAUUCACGCCGCUCCCCGCACUGAUCGUAUCGCUCCGUCUCCACGGUGCUGAACGUCAACAGCUACGCCUCGUUCGUCUCUCCAACGAGGCGUCAUUUGCCAAGCUCGCUCGCUCUUCCCACCAGCCUCUGGACGUCUUCUACCCGACGGCCUCUCUCUCUCUCUUUCAAGUCUCUCGCUGCACUGCUCCGUGCCUGCACCCUCGCUCCGCGCUUCUUUUACGCACUUUUCAGCUUUUCUGUUCCAAUGUUUGCUGUCAAUGUCCCACCGUGUUUGUCGAACCACAUGUCACAGCGGGCGAUACGCACUAUACAUAUAGAUAAACACACGCAUCCCCGCAAUCCCAUUCCGUCUAUCCGUGCGUACAUCACUUUGUUUGUAAAAUAUGCGCUGCGUUAUUAACAUUUGAAUUGGAGUAAAAAAUAUAUUUAUUAUUUUUUUGUGAUUGACUGCCAGGGAAAUGUGUACUCGGCUGGUCCCACAGGACCUGAGUCACAUUCGUGCCACAGUCGUUUGCAUCCCACGACUGAUUUGAAAUCUUAACCCAGCAGGUGUUUAAUGCGAUGCAAAAUUGUUGGCGCGACAGCAACAGCCCGAACUCGGCAUCGCCGCAGAGUUGGAGCGCUGAGCUGGCGCGUGCUGAGAACCCGAGUUCGAAUCCAGGUUUCAGCCCACCGUGAGUUCACGGGACCCUCAAGAUGCAUAGCGGCUUGAUGGUCUCCGCCAUGUCACCAAUGACUAGCUGGCUGGAUAACCACCCCCAUCAUAUGAAAUUUGGUUCUGCACCUAAAUUUGGCAACAUUUCAGCUGUGAGAAUAAAAAAAUAAAUUUGAUUUGACCGUCAUGCGAUGAACAUUAUUUCGAGAAAGCGUUGUCCCCUAGUUCGUGGAUUAGAAGUCAGGUAACAUUAUCUCUGAUGUGGUUCUCUGACAUCCGCUUCCGUGGGCUAUUGUUGAACAUGAAGGUCUGCACUCUGAUGGGUGAUGGUGGUGACGGUAGAAGUGGUGGUGAUAAGUCAACCUAUCGGAGGCCCAGAACCGGUUCAGAUAUUCGCCACUGUUUAUUGGUCGUGAGCGUGAAUCGAACUCGGGUGGCCAGGUUCAUAGCGCAUUUCCGCUAACCACUACAAUACCGCUGCCCAAAAGCACAAUAAUGUCCACAAAGACAAAGAUGCCCCACAUAGCCAUUGAACAGGCUGCCAGGGCAAGUGCUAUCCCCCCGGCACACAUACAUACACACAUACACACGCACACACGCACAGGCCUCACGCGCGGCUCUGUUCCGACCCAUAACUCACGCGGACCAAAUGAAAUUCUUUGCCUUUUUUCUCUCUUCUGGCCAGUAACUAAAUUAAUUACGGUCGCAUA